rnacentral:lncRNA from 10 species
CUCUCCUUCCUCGCCCCCUGCAUCAGUCAGAAAGCCCCCAGUAAAAAGCAAAUGCUGCUCUCUGAAGGAAGAGAAGUACAAUAUGUCUCUGUAACUGGGCACUCGUUUAAACGGAUGCCUGGAUUUGGGGUUGCAUCAUAAACAGAGAUCCCAACUGGCUCUCAGAUAGGCAUAUUCAGAACUCAAAGUUGCAGGAAGCAGGAGGGGCCUUAGGAUGAGAACAGAAAGGAGAGAAACACUAAUAGAAAUCCUUUCUGCAAAUGGCUCUAUUAGAAAGGCUCAGAAUAUCUAGAGUUAAUGUGUGCCUAUAAUUGAAGGAAGAAGGCUGGAUUUUAAUGGCCUCAGCCUGGCAGUUAACUUAAUGGAGGGGCAAAGUGCAGAAAUAGCUAAUAGAGUGCCCAUGAGUAAAUACCAGCUUGUUUACCACAUUUCACGUUUGCUUUAAAAUGCCAUGGUAUCUUAAGGCAUAUUUCAGUCAGCCCAGAUACAUGAAGUUGAUUUUGUUGGAAAAUCAUCAAAUCAUGGCAUUAUAAAAGCAAAAGGCUGCUAUAAGAUUCCCAUGGAAAGGAAAAUAAGUACAUAAUUACUCUAUGCAUUCUCUGCCAAUAGGUACUCCUCUCUACCUCUCUACUUAUAAACCAACUGCAGGAAAGUGCAUGUCAGGUUGUCAGCCAUAAGCAGGGGACUCUCACUGUUAUUUGGUUAAAACAUCUAUCCUCAGUUACAGAUGCUUCUCCUGCCAGUUCGCUGAUAAAAGGUGUACAUGGAAGUUAUACUGAGGAUUUCUCCCCCUGAGAACACCAAUGAAGUCGCAGAUGUCAAAAUAUGUAUAAGAAUUUUGCCUAAUUCAGUACAAUAAACCCUUAAUGUGCACAAACCAUGUAUCUAGCACUAUGCCAAGGUUUGUGCAGAUCAGAAAUGAAGAAAUUAUGUCAACAAAAUAUAUUAUGACAAUAUGUAUUUUUUCAAAAUAAUAAUGACAAUAAUAAUAAUCAAUACAAUGUGGUAAGUACCUAAAGGAAGAGGACUGCUUUAUUUGCAUUCAGAGGAACAAGUAAGUCCCUUCAGGAAAUAUGGCUCUGGCUAAUGGGAGUUUUCCAAAC